rnacentral:lncRNA from 1 species
GUCCCCUGCUCCCCGUCUCCCUCUCUUCCAGCUGCCACGCCUCCCAAUGCUGUGGACCGGCCCUGCCUGAGGCUGAAGGUUUAUGUCCGGCCGACUAACGAGACCCUGUACGAGGCCCCUGAGCCCAUCUUCACCAGCAACAACUCCUGCAGCGGCUUGGGGAGCUGCCGGCUCGUCCUUGGCGCCGUGCCCGUGCUGUGGACCCUCCUGGGCUCCUAGUCCCGGCCCGCCUGGACGGCCCGGCCUAGAGACCAGAGACAGACUCCGAUUCUCCCACGACUGGUGCUGCCCCUGCCAGGCUGGGGGCUGCCCGCCGCCCCACGACCAGCCCCGGGGGGUGUGUGGCUAAAGACCCCGAGGCCUGAGAGGCCCGGUCGCUGGCCGGCGCCUGGACGGGCGGGCCCUUCUGGAGUCCCGGGGAAGCCAAGAACCUCGCAGCAGUGCUUUUCUUUUAUGGUGGAAUCCGAAACACUUGAGUUUUUAAUUUAAUUUAUUCCUUGCUGUUGCCGGUGACUUUGGGAAGGAAACAGUGGACGGGGGUUGGGGUGGUCCCUAGUCCCCUGGGGCACAGGUCUGGAGACCCCUGGUCUGGUCACUCCAUCUGUCGGGUCUGGGCUGGAGCCCACCCUGGACCGCCCCCGAGCCCUGGAACAGGCCGGUCUGAGACCGUAGGGGUGAGUGGCGACCGCCGGCAGGUCCUGGUCCAGGAACCAGACCCGCCUCAGACCCCGUCCCCUGCCCCACCCUCGCUCCUGGUGACCCCUGCCCGGAGUGGAAAUCUGGGCUGUGCCGCUGGGGGCCUCUUCAGAGUCACAGCCUCCGAGGCUUAGAACCGCUUGGGCCCCUCCCCCCGCAACCUCACCGAGCGCGCCCCCAGGCCGAGAAGACAGGACCUUUCUGUAAAUAGACCCCGCAACCAUACUGUGACUUAUUUCUGCUGUGUUCCCGAGGACGGCCUGGAGAGUUUCUUCUUGGCCUGGAGAGUUUCUUCUUCUCUUACCCCUUCCUGGGAGGGGGCACUUCUGUUUGGCCAGGGGUGGGGGGGCCUUUUAGAGUAGAAGCCGCCUUCCCAGUAAGCUCGGUCCUCGGAGCCCCUCCCCCGGCGCUAGGAACUACGUUUAUAAGAGAAAACAGGACAACGCAGAAUGCGGGGGCCACACUCAGAAAGAGACUCCGGACCCUUUCAGGAAGCAAACGGCAUUUAUACGGAUUUCCUAUUUCUACCCGGCUUUCCUGACCUGUGUUUUCUAUAUAUCCUAUGUACCUACACCGCGCGGCCCCGGGGCGCCACCCGGCUUCUGUGCGCGGCUCCGCCGGGAGCCGGCGGCGGGGGCUUCCCCUUCCGAUACGAUCAACUUUGGAUUCUGUAUUUUUUUAUAAUAAAACGAG